rnacentral:tRNA from 1 species
AAGAAAGAACUAAGGAACUGCUAACUCCUUAUACCCCAUCUAACAAUGUGGCUUUCUUA